UGCGUAGGCGGACUAUUAAGUCAGAGGUGAAAUACUGCCGCUCAACGGUAGAAUUGCCUUUGAUACUGAUAGUCUUGAGUAUAGUUGAGGUAGGCGGAAUGUGUUGUGUAGCGGUGAAAUGCUUAGAUAUAACACAGAACACCGAUUGCGAAGGCAGCUUACUAAGCUAUUACUGACGCUGAUGCACGAAAGCGUGGGGAGCGAACAGGAUUAGAUACCCUGGUAGUC
rnacentral:rRNA from 1 species